GUGGGUAGCAAACAGGAUUAGAUACCCUGGUAGUCCACGCCCUAAACGAUGCAUAUUUGGUGUGGGCAGUUCAUUCUGUCCGUGCCGGAGCUAACGCGUUAAAUAUGCCGCCUGGGGAGUACAGUCGCAAGGCUGAAACUCAAAGGAAUUGACGGGGGCCCGCACAAGCGGUGGAGCAUGUGGUUCAAUUCGACGCAACGCGAAGAACCUUACCUGGGCUCGAACGGCUGGUCAACGGAGGUGGAAACACUUUUACCCCGCAAGGGGGUCCAGUCGAGGUGCUGCAUGGCUGUCGUCAGCUCGUGUCGUGAGAUGUUGGGUUAAGUCCCGCAACGAGCGCAACCCUUGUCCUGUGUUGCCAUCAUUCAGUUGGGAACUCGCAGGAGACCGCCAGCGAUAAGCUGGAGGAAGGUGGGGAUGACGUCAAGUCCUCAUGGCCUUUAUGUCCAGGGCUACACACGUGCUACAAUGGACGGUACAAAGCGUCGCUAACCCGCGAGGGGGAGCCAAUCGCAAAAAACCGUUCUCAGUUCGGAUUGCAGGCUGCAACUCGCCUGCAUGAAGCUGGAAUCGCUAGUAAUGGCAGAUCAGCACGCUGCCGUGAAUACGUUCCCGGGCCUUGUACACACCGCCCGUCACAUCACGAAAGUGGAUUGUACUAGAAGUCUGCAGGCUGAC
rnacentral:rRNA from 1 species